UACGAGGGGUGCAAGCGUUGCUCGGAAUUAUUGGGCGUAAAGGGUAGGUAGGUGGUCUCAUUUGUCAGGGGUGAAAGCCUUGGGCUUAACCCAAGAAGUGCCCCUGAAACGGUGAGACUCGAGUUCUGGAGAGGGUCGUGGAAUUCCCGGUGUAGCGGUGAAUGCGUAGAGAUCGGGAGGAACACCAGAGGCGAAGGCGGCGACCUGGACAGAUACUGACACUCAACUACGAAAGCGUGGGGAGCAAACAGG
rnacentral:rRNA from 1 species